rnacentral:pre_miRNA from 1 species
AAAAAAGACAAACCUGGGUUUCCGUGUCUAACUUUGACUGUCUUAUAUAAAUUUUUUUUAUAAUUCGUGUAUUUUCGUUAUUGUUAGAUGAUAAAAUAUGAUUAAUAUUUUAUGCGUGACUUAUCUUGUUAAUUUUUUUAUAAUUUUUUUAAUUAAGACGGACGGUCCAACGUUAAGCUCGCAUACAAGGGU